CACGGCAGUUGCUUGCUCCUCGUCCCAACCAGGCCGUCACUACCCUGCCUCCAACCACCGCCCCACUCCAGCUGCCUAUCAGUCACCACGUUGGUAUGGUAGACAGGGCCCUAAGCUGUCUAGUGGCCUGCUGAAUGCUGAGUAUGUGGUAAUGUUUGAGAAAAGAGAAAACGCCAGUCGUGCAUAGCAGAUCAAUGGAGGAAGAAGAAAUGGAGACGGAACAGAAAAUUAAGAGAAAGAAAAAAAGAAAAGAUAAAGAAGAGUCACCUGUUACAAA
rnacentral:misc_RNA from 1 species